CGCGUGUGUGAAGAAGGCUUCGGGUUGUAAAGCACUUUUGUUGGGGAAGAAAAGCAGCCGGUUAAUACCCGGUUGUUCUGACGGUACCCAAAGAAUAAGCACCGGCUAACUUCGUGCCAGCAGCCGCGGUAAUACGAAGGGUGCAAGCGUUACUCGGAAUUACUGGGCGUAAAGCGUGCGUAGGUGGUUUGUUAAGUCAGAUGUGAAAGCCCCGGGCUCAACCUGGGAAUUGCAUUUGAUACUGGCAGACUAGAGUGCGGUAGAGGAGAGUGGAAUUCCCGGUGUAGCAGUGAAAUGCGUAGAGAUCGGGAGGAACAUCAGUUGCGAAGCGGCUCUCUGGACCAGCACUGACACUGAGGCACGAAAGCGUGGGGAGCAACAGGAUUAGAUACCUGGUAGUCCCGCCCUAA
rnacentral:rRNA from 1 species